GACGUCGACGUCGCCGUGGCCCUGGUAGACCUGCGGCAGCGAGGCGGCGAGCGUGAUCUGCUGGUACUUGUAGGAGGCGUAGACGUCGAGGCGGUCGUAGUAGACGCCCACCCGGUCGUUGGGGUUCCGGGACGCGAUCGUAACCUGCAGCGUCGUGGAGAGCACCCCGCCGGCGCCGGAGUUGGAGGAGUUUUGGGGGAGGUCGAGCUGGCGGAGGGAGGCGUCCUGGAGGAAGAAGCGCGGGUGGGUCGGGCGGAGCACGAGGUAGACGAUGAGCGCGAUGAUGGCGACGACCAGGGCUAGGAGGAGGAUGAAGGCCGCCAGGCGACGGCACGUGCGGCGCAGGUCGUCCUCGCCGUGGUUGCCGCAGUCCUUUCCCAUGGCGGCGGCGGCGGAGGAGGAGGAGGGGUAAAGGUCUCUGCUUUU
rnacentral:lncRNA from 1 species